UCUCUCAUCUUCAAAUAUCCUUCACUAACCUCAAGGUAAUUCCUCUUGUGCUGUAAAUACCAUAAUAAACAUACUAAAUCUAUCACCAAUGUAUUCUUUUUCUUCAUCUUUCUCUUACUAAAUCAUUAUGGGCUAAGGAAUACUGUCUCUCUCUCAUCUUCAAAUAUCCUUCACUAACCUCAAGGUAAUUCCUCUAGUGCUGUACAUACCAUAAUAAACAUACUAAAUCUAUCACCCAUGUAUUCUUUUUCUUCAUCUUUCUCUUACUAAAUCAUUAUGGGCUGAGGAAUACUGUCUCUCUCAUCUUCAAAUAUCCUUCACUAACCUCAAGGUAAUUCCUCUAGUGCUGUAAAUACCAUAAUAAACAUACUAAAUCUAUCACCAAUGUAUUCUUUUUCUCCAUCUUUCUCUUACUAAAUCAUUAUGGGCUGAGGAAUACUGUCUCUCUCAUCUUCAAAUAUCCUUCACUAACCUCAAGGUAAUUCCUCUAGUGCUGUAAA